GCGGGACAGAAAGUCUGUGCGCGCCGUACUACCUUUUGGCACGCGAGAGACAAAGAAUGCUGUAGUGACGCGCACUCAACUUCAGCGUGUGUUCUCACGCGCACCGCCUCUUAGUUUAAAGACGCGACCAAAGAAGAAACCUGCAAUUCAACCUCACAUUGUAAAAAAAGUUUGGCUUCGGAAAACUUUAACCCGAGUCACGCGUCAAGAGUUGUAGACAAAGGGAAACUUCUCCUCGGGAUGUUAUGCGGAAUGCGUAAGGAUGGAAUCAACUGAAAACCCAAAGACACGUUUUGCAGCACCAGAUGUACCAGCUGUACCAAGAGAUCAUUACGGGAGCCUGGCCCAAGGGCAGAGAGAACAAGAGAGACCUCUUCAGACCUACUUCUGGAACCAAGGUUAGUCCCCCCGGUUAGUCUUGGGAUACGAACCUACGACCUUCAACUCUCAAAUGGGUCUUCUUUAGCCUCUGAGCUACCAACUAUAGCCACAGAGCAGGAAGUGGUGGAAGGAUGCUUUGCUGCGGUUUCUGACCUUGCUUGGUCAAAGGAGAGUAAUGGGCAAUUUUCAAAGGCCAAUAUGAGUUUUCCCUGUAGCCAAGGAUAGUCUUCUAUAACGCCUCUCGCUAUAGAUGGGAAAUCUUCCUUGCGUUGUAUUGUGUGUCCUUGUCAACCGUGGGAAGAUGCCGGUGGGGUUUCAGCAUUAAGAUGAGUUUCCACUACUCAUUCAGUACCUGUUGAGAUAAAUAGUAUCACAAGAAUAUUAUUACCAGGGCUACCAGGAGCCAGGUUGCAGGAUACCUGAUGCAUGUUUAUCAAAGAAAAUCAAUGUUUUCCUUAUCAAACUUUGAUAGACUAGUUACCACAUCAACUUUGAAUGUAUGAAAUUUAGGCCUUAGCUACAAUAUGGAGGUGGGCACUUCUUAUCAUACUAAAACACUUGACUGUAUUUUCUUUGGUACUUGAACGUAAUAUUAGCCAAUCAAACUGUUUUAUACAUAGUCCCACCAUUCUCUAUUUCGCCUUUGGUUAUGUUGGAUGUGUGUUGUACUGCAACAUUCAGUUUUAUUUGUACAGGUCUGGUCUUUCUUUUGUUGCCUUGAUACCAGCCUCAUUCCUGAAAAUAAAAGAGAUCCUCUAGAUGUUUGGAGAUGUUGGUUGGGCGGUUUUGAUACUCAGGAAACAAUGGGUGCAAAAUGAAUAUUUGUUUUUAUUUUGGAUUGUUUUGAAUACUAUCUGGAAAUAAAGGGGCCAGCAACUCACCACUUGGCUCCUCUGAGAAUAUGAGUGUACCAGUUUCUAUACUACAUCUUAAAGCUCUGCAUUGGAAGAACACUACCUUUGCAUUGUAUUUUUCUGUGCAUUACUCAAUAAACAGUUGAGAAUAUAAAGUGGUCUCUGGUCCAAACAUUUGUGGUGUGCCCACUUAUUUUACAUUGCGUUACAUUCUCAUUUUGUAUCUGUUUGCUCUAGUCUUAUGCUUUCUGUCUAGCAAACUCUGCCCCUGGCACUGCAAGCACGGCACUGCAGUCUUUUACAUUAUGACCAA
ensembl:lncRNA